UGUUUUCUCGAUCUUUUCCUUAAACUGAACUCUUUUUUUUUCAUAUUUACAGCCUUCUGGAUUUUUCAACUCUUCUGAGACCAAAAGAAGACUAAAUCAAAGAAGAACUCUGACCUUGGCGCUUGAAGAGGGAAAGCGGGAACAAGUAUAAAAUGUUCCUCCUGUCUCACGACUCUGUCAGGGUCUUGGGAAAAUGAACCUGUGGAAGACAAUGGGAAAUCCUAGCAAAUGAGGCAAAAGGUUCCUGAGUUUGGGGGAGAACACUGCCUACCACUGGCCCCGUUAGAGGGAGGUUCCCGCCAAGCCCGCUGUUCCUGCUGGGACCUGUUCAAGGACAGCAAACAUGGUUUCCAGGACUGGAAAGGUCUGAAAAACAGAUUUGUUCCAGAUACUGAUUUGGUGAACCCAGCCUUGCACACCCAGAGGACAACUUUGAGGCACUGCUGUGGUCUUCUUCAUCAUAGAUUUAGAGAAGGUAGGA
rnacentral:lncRNA from 1 species